GAUCCUGGCUCAGGACGAACGCUGGCGGCGCGCCUAACACAUGCAAGUCGAACGAGAGAGAAGGAGCUUGCUUCUUCGAUCGAGUGGCGAACGGGUGAGUAACGCGUGAGGAACCUGCCUCAAAGAGGGGGACAGCAGUUGGAAACGACUGCUAAUACCGCAUAAGCCCACGGGUCGGCAUCGAUCUGGGGGAAAAGGAGCAAUCCGCUUUGAGAUGGCCUCGCGUCCGAUUAG
rnacentral:rRNA from 1 species